GAUGAACGCUGGCGGCGUGCCUAAUACAUGCAAGUCGAGCGAAUGGAUUAAGAGCUUGCUCUUAUGAAGUUAGCGGCGGACGGGUGAGUAACACGUGGGUAACCUGCCCAUAAGACUGGGAUAACUCCGGGAAACCGGGGCUAAUACCGGAUAAUAUUUUGAACUGCAUGGCUCAAAAUUGAAAGGCGGCUUCGGCGGUCACUUAUGGAUGGACCCGCGUCGCAUUAGCUAGUUGGUGAGGUAACGGUUCACCAAGGCAACGAUGCGUAGCCGACCUGAGAGGGUGAUCGGCCACACUGGGACUGAGACACGGCCCAGACUCCUACGGGAGGCAGCAGUAGGGAAUCUUCCGCAAUGGACGAAAGUCUGACGGAGCAACGCCGCGUGAGUGAUGAAGGCUUUCGGGUCGUAAAACUCUGUUGUUAGGGAAGGACAAGUGCUAGUUGAAUAAGCUGGCACCUUGACGGUACCUAACCAGAAAGCCACGGCUAACUACGUGCCAGCCGCCGCUGUAA
rnacentral:rRNA from 1 species